AAUCAACGCUGGCGGCGUGCCUCAGACAUGCAAGUCGAACGAUUAAAGCUCUCUUCGGAGAGUGUAUAGAGUGGCGCACGGGUGAGUAACACGUAAGUAAUCUACCCUCGAGUGGGGAAUAACAACCGGAAACGGUUGCUAAUACCGCAUAAUGCAGCGGCACCGCAAGGUGACAGUUGUUAAAGAUUUAUCGCUUGAGGAGGAGCUUGCGGCAGAUUAGCUAGUUGGUAGGGUAACGGCUUACCAAGGCUACGACUCUAGUAACCGGUACUAAGAGGACGGUCGGUCACACUGACACUAGAAGUAACGGGUCAGA
rnacentral:rRNA from 1 species